rnacentral:tRNA from 1 species
GCCAGUGUGGCGUAGUGGUUUGAGCACUGAACUAUGACUCUGGAGACCAGAGUUCAAAUCCCAGAUCAGCCA